GAUGAACGCUGGCGGCGUGCUUAACACAUGCAAGUCGAACGGAAAGGCUCCUGCUUGCAGGGGUACUCGAGUGGCGAACGGGUGAGUAACACGUGGGUGAUCUGCCCUGCACUUCGGGAUAAGCCUGGGAAACUGGGUCUAAUACCGGAUAGGACCACAUUUUGGAUGGUGUGGUGGAAAGUUUUUCGGUGUGGGAUGAGCUCGCGGCCUAUCAGCUUGUUGGUGGGGUAAUGGCCUACCAAGGCGUCGACGGGUAGCCGGCCUGAGAGGGGGUACGGCCACAUUGGGACUGGAAUACGGCCCAGACUCCUACGGGAGGCAGCAGUGGGGAAUAGUGCGCAAUGGGAGCAAGCCUGAUGCAGCGACGCCGCGUGGGGGAUGACGGCCUUCGGGUUGUAAACUCCUUUCGCUAGGGACGAAGCGAAAGUGACGGUACCUGGAGAAGAAGCACCGGCUAACUACGUG
rnacentral:rRNA from 1 species